AAUUCUAUUUGAAGCCUGAAUGCCAUGAAUGCUGCAACGUGAACAGUUGCAAAGUUGUUCUUAAGCUAAAAGCAUCUGUGUUGGCUUGGUGGCUUUUCAGGACCGAAACAGCUGCUUCAGUGUUGUAUUUUUCAGUUUCGUGUUAAUUGAGUUAAUCUUCAGUACUGCGCAUACUUGUUUGGUCAAGACUUAUUUCAUUCCCUUUUAGGAUAUCUAAAUUAUCUGGAAGAAUAGUGGGAUAGAAAAAUUAAUGAUCUUCAAGUAAAUAAGACACACCUGACUGUCUGCCUGUGACUAUGGAGAAUCAAAUAUUGUUUGACAUAAGAUCAGCUACAGAUGAUGGAUUUCUAACUGAAAUAUUACAUCAGAAUGUUCUUGAUAGUUCUGAAAACUUCAGUUUGGAAACCACCGUAAUUAAUAAUCCUGUUGAAGAAGGAUUGCCAUCCAGUCAAGGCAAUCAGUUAUACGCUAUAAAUGUGGAAGAGUCUUUGUUGGAUCACUUUGAGAAUCCUCUUUCCACGGAAAAUCAGAAUACAAUAGCAGUUGAAAUAUAUCCACAUGGAAACAAUACCUGCGACAAUGAAGAUCUUGAAAAAUACAAAGCAUUAAAUCUUCCAGAAGAAGCUGAUUAUACGCAUUCACCUUACCUGCCUUCAGAUGGUGACCAUUUCCUUUCUUCUGUAGUGACACAGCAUAAAAAUGGCAGUGUUCCAACUUCAAGUGUUUUCUCUUCAGCAGGAGCAGUCAAUCAAAAUGUUGGAGCCGUACCUGCGUUCAGAUCAUUAAUGCCUCCAGCUGAAGAUGAAAACUGUAUUUAUUAUGAUCAGUUUAAAGGAAUCCAAAACAGUCCUAUGCAGUCAAAAAACUUGCCAGAUUGCUUUAAUGAAUGCUUCAGUGGUGUCUACGGCUUGCCUCAGACUAGUGCUUCUGUCUAUGAUGAAAUAACUGAAGUAAGAGAUGCAAUUAGAAAUGUUACGGAGAAUCACGAGGACGGAGCAAUGUUUCAGAGUUCAAAUACUGACGAGUCUAACUGCGAGUUAUUAGCACUGCAUGGUGUGACAGAGGAAUCUGGAUAUUUACACAGAAAUUAUUCCAGCCCCCUGAUGAUCUGCCAGCUGGACGGAGGUACUCAAAUGUUCUGUAUAAAGGAUUGUGGCACACAGGAUCUAAAAGCAAUACAUCUCAUUCCACAGUAUGAAGACCAACGUCAUUAUCUUCAAUCUGAUGUGGGCAGCCCUGUAACAGCUGUACUGGGGCAGCUUUUGCCUGUUUCAGGUAACCUGGAUUCGAACAAACAAGAGGUAAAGCAGCUUUAUUCUUGUCACGUAUAAAGCACAGUAUAAAUUUUCCUUUUCUUAAAAUAGGUUCUUGUGUCUAAUGGCAGGAGGUAACAAUUGUAUGCAUUUUCUAAAUUCAUUUUAGCUAGCUUAGGCAGGUCAGUUUUACAAUCCUGCAUGCUUCCUGCGUACAAACUCUCCAAUUUGAGAAUUUUCUAUAAGUAAUAACAGAAUUUAAAAGUGCAAUUCCAAUUUUUCAGACUCAAAUUUGGUAUUUAUAUAAAUUACAUUAUUUCUGAGAACCAUUCUGUAACUCUUUUGAGAGGUGGAAGGAAACACAUUGACUUUUACCAGAAUGAGAACGUUUUCUUCCAGUAGGAUUCCUUGCUCUGUAUUUGUUGAGUAGGACCUAAUAGUCAGUAAGUCUUUAUCAUUUUCUCAAUUAUUAUUUGCUAAUGGAGUGAUAGAACUGUAUUUCAAUUUAUUUUUAAAAAUGAAAACAGAAGACUAAAAAUCUUUGUAGGUGUUUGAUUUCUCUUGUCAUUUCCAACAGAGCUGGUAGCAAAAAUCAUUGCAAAUGUUUACCUGUUAACUUCUGAUUUGUGUUAAAUGAAUGUAAUGUCAGUGCAAACACAGCAGAUGGUUUGUGGGUAACAGCCACCCUCGUAAAAGAGGAAAUUAAAAACCCAAGAGCCAGAUGGAGCAAUGAACUAUAGAGUCUUUCAUCACUAAAAGUAGAGUACUGACAAAUUGGUGUCUAAAUUUUCUAGAGAUGUAGACAGCACUGCAGUUCUCUCUCUGAUUUUAUCCCCAGCCUGUUGUUCCUUGGAUUUCUUCUCUUGCUUUAAAGAUAUUAAUUUUCUUCUUCCUUAUUGGCAGCUAGGUUGAUAACUAGUUAAAAUAGCUAUUAUUUACAAGUACUCACAGCACUUCCUUGUACCUGUUUUACUAGGCUAUUAUAUCAUAGAAUCACAGAAUGGCCUGGGUUGAAAAGGACCACAAUGAUCAUUUAGCUCCAACCCCCUGCUAUAUGCAGGGCCAACCAGCAGACCAGGCUGCCCAGAGCCACAUCCAGCCUGGCUUUGAAUGCCUCCAGCGAUGGGGCAUCGACAGCCUCCUUGGGCAACCUAUUCCAGUGUGACACCACCUUCUGUGUGAAAACCUUCCUCCUAAUAUCUAACUUAAACUUCCCCUGUCUCAGUUUAAUACCAUUCCCCUUGUCCUAUCACUAUCCACCCUCGUAAACAGCCGUUCCCCCUCCUGUUUAUACGCUCCCUUCAAGUACUGGAAGGCCACAAUGAGGUCUCCCUGGAUCCUUCUCCAAGCUAAACAAGCCCAGUUUCCUCAACCUUUCCUCAUAGGAGAGGUGCUCCUGCCCUCUGGUGGCCCUCCUCUGGACCCUCUCUGUCUGAAGAGAAAAUAGAUCUGCGUUCCGUUUCGAUGGCCUUUUGAACAUGAAUACUUACAAUCAGUAGCUAGCACUUCCACUUUCCAACCAGAAUCGAAUCUGCAAGUGGAAAUGACUUCAGCUGGGUAAGAUGCUUGCAACGCUUAGUCCAUUAUGAGCUUUGAAUUUUAUACUGGCAAAGACUCUUAGACAGUUUGUGUAAUAUAGCUGCUUCUCACACAAUUUGGCAAGAGUGAUUUGUGUACUCAUCUUGGUAGCCAUUAUUCCAUUUACUGGUGGUCAAGGCUUCCAGGAUUUCUUAGGAUCAAUGCAACUGUGCUGUAAAUGUGUCCUAAAAGCAUUUAAUUUUCGGAGUUAAUUGAUAUGUUUUAAAAUGUAAUUAACAUGUGUUUAGCUUGUAUUUCUUACAAUAAUGGGAUUCUUUUAAUAAACCUUAAUUGCAGAUGGUUUUUAAAUGCAAGGCAGAUGCGAGCCCGGUGUGACAAAUGAGAGUGCUUUGCAGUUGUGCUGCAGUUACUGGGUUCUGAGUGGUUGCUGACCUGCCCCUAGGAAUGACCACUGGUGGAUCACAUGAGGGGGGGGGGAGAAUCUUACAAAGUUUCAAAAGUAUAGACCAAUCCAUGAUUUGUAUAUUUAUUUUCUUAUUUUCUUCCUCUUUCAACCUGGGUAGCCAACCUUUUAGUUCGGGGAUUACGAAGUCUAAGAAACCAUGUAACUGCACAAAAUCUCAGUGUCUUAAACUAUAUUGUGAAUGCUUUGCCAGUGGUGACUUUUGCAAC